rnacentral:lncRNA from 1 species
AAAGGGCAGCUCAGAGGCUACUCACUCAGAUGCAGCCACAGAGAGGAGGGGAGAGUUGCUCCAGAGAAAAGGGCAGCCCCAGAUGCUUGUUUGGAGAGAAAGGACCACUGAAAGGUUCUACUUACGGAGGAGUACUUUACAUUCAUCUCAGAUGACUGGAGCACAUAUCAGGAAGACCCAGGAAAGUGCUGACCUUCCCGUUCUUGUGGCUCUUAUCAGACUAGAUGCUCACCCUCUCCGCACACAGGACCAUCUUGAGGGGGGCAUCCCAUGUAAGCAAAAUGUGGAAAAGCCAGUGACCAUCAACAAAACAAAACAUCAAAGCCAACUAAUAAAGGGAGAAAGACAAUAUUUGGGAGAACGAGGAGCACAUGUUUUGAUCCUCAAAUGGAAGUGUGACCGUUGUGCGAGAGGAACUCUUACAGGAGUAACUACAGUGGACGGCUUUACAUUGGGGAUGAUGGGAUUCCUGCACCUGAACCUCGCAUCCCCUGAUACAACAGGCACUCGCUGGGUGCUGAAUUAUGGCCGUGCCACCUGUGAAGCGGGGACUUGGUGAGCGAGAGCCCGAGGGUGUAUGUAUUUCACUUACUCGGAGCUGUCAGGUCUUAUCAACCUUUCGUUAGAAAUAUUUUUUUCUCCCUGAAAACUCAUAAAAAUUCAUGUUGUAAUAUCAAUGCCUGCAGGAUCCUGUAGAAUUUUGUUGAGCUGCUCAUCCCCUUUUCUCCUAAUAGAUAUAUCAUCCCCUUCACAUACAGGGAUACAGAUGUGUGCUUGCGAAUCUGUAUUGGAGGCUUGUGGAUAUGCCAAAGUAGGUUUGCCAAGGGAAAGGAAAUAAACUAAUUUUUCCCCCCACUGGUUUAAUGUGGCU